UUUUCUUCUGUCUGUAUACGACUCUCUGGAGAAUGCACUGCCAUGGAGAUGGACAAGGUUGGAAAUUCCUGAAGUCAUGGAAGUUGUUGCUUCCCCAUGUGAAGCCAUCCCAACAAAUCACUUAACUCCACAAAACUUGAAACAUAGGUACAUAUGAGGAUCCUGGCUAAGGAACCAUAUCGACAGACUGGGUCCUGAAUCUUACUCAAGGUCUUGUUGCUGGCAUUUUCUUCAAAAGACAAGAACUACACUUUAACAAAUGGGCUUCAUGCUGACAUGCGGAUAGAUGUAGCCCAAACAGAGGGCUGGCCAGGCACAGGGAAAGGAGAUUGCUGCACAAUUCAAAGGAAGUGUAUGUUCUACACACUCCUCCUGUGCGUUAUGGUUCUGAGGGAGGUACUGUACCGCACUGAGAUACUGGGCUUUCCAGAGGUCCCCCAGAUGUUAUGGCUCUGCAUUGCCCCAAUGCUGAAAAGGGUACAUGACCAUGAAGUCUCCUGCUAUAGAGUCAGAUUGACUCUGCUGGCUACGCGCAACUGUAAAUUGGCUGGAAGAAUACUUUUUAUGGCAGAAUGAAGGAAACCAUUGUGCUCUUGGCCACAGACUGAAAGCACCUUUAUAGGGAGUGAUGAUGAUUCCAUGAGCUUCUACUAGUGGGCACAUAUUUACAUCACAUACUAUUGCUUCCAAUCCCUUAUUCUGGAUCACUGAUUGACAGCACUGACAAAAACAAAUCACAGAGAUGACAAAGUACCCAAGGAGGGAAGGAUUAUUGUCCCAACUUUUCAGAUGGGGAAACAGAGGCACAUAAUUUUUAAGUGACUUGUUCAAGGUGACAGAACAGAUCAGUGCCAUGGCAGGAAUAGAACCCAAGUCUCCUGACUCCCAGGGUUUAACCAUAAUUUUAAAAUAUGCAGAACUACUUUAUUAUUAGGACUUCUUGCAAUGGAAAAGCGCUCUGCCAUGGAUGAAAAUGAAGUUUUGCAUUUUUCUGAUGCAUGGAGGCAAUUUGUGAAUACUGCCUGAAAGGGAAAAGAAGUGGAAAGGAGUUGAAUUACAUCUGUAUGACUUUUGGCUACUUCUAGGAAGAUUCUUAAGUUGCAAGCUAUUUUCUGACAGGGACUGGGUCUUUCUGUGUGUUACUGUGCCUAGCACAUUUUGCCCCACUGUCGUAGUAUACAUCAUCACAGUAAUGGAGAUGAGUCCAAAUCAAAGCCAUGGAUCCCAACUAUGUGAAGAGAAGGGUUUGACAUCUGGAUCAGAAUUAUGCAGCUUGAGCUGCUCUCUAUUUAUAAGAUCUGCCAUUAAUUGAAUGUGCCAAUCUAGUGGCAGUGAGAUGGUAGAGUGGGGAAGGUCAGAGAAAGGAGUGGGGCAGGAUCGAUCUUUUCCUUCCUACUCUACCACUGAUCUGACAUGAAGGGAUGGUGGGAGUUUGCAUACUUUGGGAUUUACAAGUGAGCAGAGCAUUUGGUGCUCUUGUUGGUAGAAGCCCCGUAUUGCUUCUAAAUCUUAAAGGUCUGAGGUCCUGGGGUACAACAGAAGGGUUACUCUGUCCUGCUGGAAUUGUGUGGGGUGAAAGAAAAGGCUGCCUAACUGCCUCCUAAGGAUCACACUCCUUCCUGAAGAGGAGACGUUGGUGCCCUGCCCCACCCCAGCAGCAGCUGCUAUCAGACUAGAAGGGAGUGGGCUGCUUAGUUAACACUCUUCCUUCAAGAGGACACAUCAGUGAUGGUUUGGAGAACAACAUUAUGGAUCCAAAUAGAUAGUGUGGUCAGUGGAGAGUAGAUUGUCUUUGAAAAGAAGGAGCCAGGGCCUAUUGAUGGAGUGGGGAAGGAAGAGGGCAAAAAGUUCAGAUAAGCAUCAAAGUUUAGGCUGUUUAGCCAAACCUCUGAACCUUUUGAGAGUUCAUUCAGAGUUCACCCAUUAGCAUGUAUUCUCCUACAUUUCUUCCUAAACUCAUUUCCUUACAUGGAAGUUUUGUUCAUAAUCUGACUCUGCUUAACCCUGUCGGCACCACUUAUUUCCCUAAUGGGGAGAAGAUCCACUAAUGGGAGGAGGAAGAGGGUGUUGGGAUGACUGGGAUUUUCAAAGGAGCCAAACUCCCACUGAAAUUCAACCCUGUUCAAUUUCCUUGAGAAUCACAGCUGAUGAAGCUACAUUGUCAAUUCCUUACUCUCUCUAAUCUCAUAUUAAUUUGAACAUUUUUAAGUACUACUGCUGAAUUGAUUGGUUAACCUAAGUAGGCUAGUCUUGUCAGAGGGCACUGCAGAGUCAGUAAUUAUAGAAGGGAGAACACAUAUGUUAGUAAGUUAAUAACCAUCUAAUGUAUAUGGGUUUCCAUAUUCUAUGAUUUGUUGUAGUCACAUAUGACUGACAUUUUACCUUAUUCCUUUCAAGAAACAUACACUUUCAAUAUAUUUUGUUGGUGAAUGGCAUUGGCAUAGUCUCACUGUUUUUGUUGGACAAGUCUCCAUAUUUUACAGGAACUACCAUCAUCCCAUUUGGCCCUAAUUUAUACUUGUAUGGGUACUCUCAGCAUAAAGGCUGAGGAUGAAAUAGGCAUAGAGACUGACCUAUCCUAUUACCCGUAGAACUGAUCCCAAUAGCCUGGGGAUGUGAUGCAGUUUUGCAAAACUUACCCUGCUACUCCCUCUACUGUUUCUGUCCUGUGGACAUUAAUCCUUCAAGAUGCUGAGCACUCUGGCCCUGAUCCAGCAAAGCACAUAAGAACAUACUUGACAUUAUUUUGAGUGGUCACAUUCCCUUUACUGGAUUAGGGCCAGAGUGCUCAACACCUUGCAAGGUCAAGCCCAAAUGUAGGGCUUCAAUGCCUAGGGAUGCCAUUCUAUACCCUUUCAUGAUCGGUAACCUUCAGAAACUCCAAUAAUUGAACACCUUUUUAUUUAUUUAUUUAUAUAUUCUAAUAUUUUCUUUGUAAAAGGCUAAUGACACAAGUCCUGAGCUGUCCCAUUUGGACAAUUUUUAUUGCAAUGGUGGUAAAAGCUCUCAGAAUUUUACAGCUCAGAGCAUGCCAUUCUCACAUUCCCAUUUCAGUGUAAAAAUCUGCUGCAGAUGGAUUCUCAGGAGCAACAUGGAUUUUAGACAGUUAAAACAUGGGACUCAAAGCUGGAAUAAAACUUGAAAAAAACCAAGCCCUUUAACACAAAACAGAUUUGUUUUUAAAAGUGCAUCAGAUUCUCAUAAAACUGUAUAGAAGUUUUCUGGAACCAUAUAAUAGAAGUUAUUUUUCUUUAUUUGUUAAGAGACAAAUAUUUAUAUUUAGUUGCUCUGGCAUUUCUGCAAAGCAGUUCUGGGCCAUCUCAUUAAAAAGGAUUGGAGUCAAUUAUCUGCUUUAUUGAGUAUUUGUUUUCAUUUGUGUGAUCUUUGUACUGCUCACAGGAUAAUUUUUGUGUGGUGGGGAAACUCAUUAGAGCUCUGACUAUACUGUGCCUGCUAUGUUCCUACAGUUUUGAAAGUCUGAAAAAUUCUCUAUACGUGACCUGAAUUUGAUUGGAACUGUAAUCUGGUGCAGCUACCUUGGUUUCAUUAAAAUGUGAGAAAGCAUGUGCUUGUAUUCAUUACAAUUUAUAAUUACCUCAGUUUUUGCUGCUUGAUGCAAAUUAAAGCUGGCCUUUAUUCAAACAUGGAAGGUACAGCAUCAAAUCAACAACUUUAUUUUAUCGU